GGAACAGCAUCUCCAGUUGCA
rnacentral:sRNA from 1 species